AUUGAACGCUGGCGGCAGGCUUAACACAUGCAAGUCGAGCGAGCGGCGGACGGGUGAGUACUGUCUGGGAAACUGCCUGAUGGAGGGGGAUAACUACUGGAAACGGUAGCUAAUACCGCAUACCAUCAGAUGUGCCCAGAUGGGAUUAGCUAGUAGGUGGGGUAAUGGCUCACCUAGGCGACGAUCCCUAGCUGAUCUGAGAGGAUGACCAGCCACACUGGGACGUAGACACGGUCCAGACUCCUACGGGAGGCAGCAGUUGGGAAUAUUGGCCAAUGGGCGCAAGCCUGAUGCAGCCAUGCCGCGUGUGUGAAGAAGGCCUUCGGAUUGUAAAGCUCUUUCAGCAGGGAGGCGUUACCCGCAUAAGAAGCACCGGCUAACUCCGUGCCAGCAGCCGCGGUAAUUC
rnacentral:rRNA from 1 species